rnacentral:rRNA from 1 species
AGGACGAACGCUGGCGGCGUGCUUAACACAUGCAAGUCGAGCGGAAAGGCCCUUCGGGGUACUCGAGCGGCGAACGGGUGAGUAACACGUGAGCAACCUGCCCUUAGCUCUGGGAUAGCUCCGGGAAACCGGAAUUAAUACCGGAUACGACCUAGGCCGACAUCGGCCAUGGUGGAAAGUUUUUCGGCUAGGGAUGGACUCGCGGCCUAUCAGCUAGUUGGUGGGUAAAGGCCUACCAAGGCGACGACGGGUAGCCGG